rnacentral:rRNA from 1 species
UACGUAGGGUGCAAGCGUUAUCCGGAAUUAUUGGGCGUAAAGAGCUCGUAGGCGGUUUGUCGCGUCUGUCGUGAAAGUCCGGGGCUCAACUCCGGAUCUGCGGUGGGUACGGGCAGACUAGAGGUGAUGUAGGGGAGACUGGAAUUCCUGGUGUAGCGGUGGAAUGCGCAGAUAUCAGGAGGAACACCGAUGGCGAAGGCAGGUCUCUGGGCAUUAACUGACGCUGAGGAGCGAAAGCAUGGGGAGCGAA